ensembl:lncRNA
CAGCAACAAUAAUAAUAAUAAUAAUAAUAAUAAUAAGUCACUGUUUGUUAAGGUAGUUAUAGACAGUACAGCAACAAUAAUAAUAAUAAUAAUAAUAAUAAUAAUAAGUCACUGUUUGUUAAGGUAGUUAUAGACAGUACAGCAACACAAUUAUUUUUAUUCAUUAAAAGUAGGCUAUUUAUUGUCUUUCAAUCUGUUCUUUUCUAAAUGUUUCUGAGAAUAUAGACAGAAGUGCUAAAACGGACAUGAUUGAUCUGAGGGGGAAAUUAUUGAUCCAUUCAGAAAGGUUUUUUUGUACAAGUAAUUGAUGUUAUAUUAUGUAAAGUAGGCUAGGUUAUAAUGUAUAGUAGUGGGUUGUUAGUGAUAUGUAGAUGUUAUAUUAUGUAAAGUAGACUAGGUUAUAAUGUAUAGUAGUGGGUUGUUAGUGAUAUGUAGAUGUUAUAUUAUGUAAAGUAGACUAGGUUAUAAUGUAUAGUAGUGGGUUGUUAGUGAUAUGUAGAUGUUAUAUUAUG